UACGGAGGAUCCAAGCGUUAUCCGGAAUUAUUGGGCGUAAAGCGCGCGCAGGCGGUCCUUUAAGUCUGAUGUGAAAGCCCACGGCUCAACCGUGGAGGGUCAUUGGAAACUGGAGGACUUGAGUACAGAAGAGGAAAGUGGAAUUCCACGUGUAGCGGUGAAAUGCGUAGAGAUGUGGAGGAACACCAGUGGCGAAGGCGACUUUCUGGUCUGUAACUGACGCUGAGGCGCGAAAGCGUGGGGAGCAAACAGG
rnacentral:misc_RNA from 1 species